UACGUAGGGCGCAAGCGUUGUCCGGAAUUAUUGGGCGUAAAGAGCUCGUAGGCGGCUUGUCACGUCGAUUGUGAAAGCCCGAGGCUUAACCUCGGGUCUGCAGUCGAUACGGGCUAGCUAGAGUGUGGUAGGGGAGAUCGGAAUUCCUGGUGUAGCGGUGAAAUGCGCAGAUAUCAAGAGGAACACCAAUGGCGAAGGCAGCACUCUGGGACGUGACUGACGCUGAGACGCGAAAGCGUGGGGAGCAAACAGG
rnacentral:rRNA from 1 species